rnacentral:misc_RNA from 1 species
GAAAUGCGAUAAGUAGUGUGAAUUGCAGAAUUCAGUGAAUCAUCGAAUCUUUGAACGCAUAUUGCGCCCUUUGGUAUUCCGAAGGGCAUACCUGUUCGAGCGUCAGUAGACAUCUUCAAGUAUAGCUUGGUAUUGGGCUUUAUGACUGAAGUAUUUUUAGUCUGGCCUUAAAACUAUCGGCGGCGAAUCGGUCGAUAUGGAGUACAGUACAUUUGUUACUACCGAUCGAGCUGUGUACGCGUGGCCGGAAACGCAAUUUUAUUAUGGUUUGACCUCGGAUCAGGUAGGAAUACCCGCUGAACUUAA